GAUGAAGAACGCAGCGAAAUGCGAUAAGUAAUGUGAAUUGCAGAAUUCAGUGAAUCAUCGAAUCUUUGAACGCACAUUGCGCCCCCUGGUAUUCCGGGGGGCAUGCCUGUCCGAGCGUCAUUACAACCCUCAAGCUCAGCUUGGUGUUGGGCCCCGCCGCCCCGGCGGGCCCUAAAGUCAGUGGCGGUGCCGUCCGGCUCCGAGCGUAGUAAUUCUUCUCGCUCUGGAGGUCCGGUCGUGUGCUCGCCAGCAACCCCCAAUUUUUUUCAGGUUGACCUCCGAUCAGGUAGGGAUACCCGCUGAACUUAAGCAUAUCAAUAAGCGGAGGA
rnacentral:misc_RNA from 1 species